UUGUCCUGGCAAUUCUCUGAAGUCUGCUUCCUUACUGAUUUAUUAUCUUCUCUUUCAUGGAAAAAUCCAAAACAUGCACAUAAAGCAGCCUUCUUAUAGCUGGAAAAAGGCAUAGCAUUUUUUUCAUUUUAGGCGUUCAUCUAAUUGGAUUGGAAGCCGGGACAAUUGAAUCAACUUGGGCCACAAAAACAAAAAAAGUUCCAAUAUUUAGUCUCUCUCUAUGGGACAAUUCAAUCAACUUGAGCCACAAAAAGGAAAAGAUUUUCAAUAUUUGAUCUCUCUUUCAUUUCUACUUUCUCUGAGAAUGGAACUCCAAUAAGGAAGUCAUCUUGAUGCAGAUCCAUAGGGUGGUGAUUCUUACUGCCACAUUACAGACAAGAUGCCGAAUGACUCAGAAAAAGCCAUUUCCUUUCACCUCAGGUUGGUAUGUCGAGCGUGACGUGCCUAAAUGUAGAUCACCAGUGAUCAUUAAAGUGAUCUCCCCCGUCCCCCACUUGUCCUGCUCUGGGUGUAGUUUGAUUUUUCUUGUUUUCUUGCAUUAUGAGCUUCUCUUUCUCUCCACUUGGAUUUCCUUUUCCUGUCCUGGCUGUAUAGUUUUAUUUUGCUUCUUUUCUUCUCUUAUGAGCUGCUGCUUCCAUAUUGUUAAUGAAACUGCACAUGGUCACACAUACACACAAAGAAUCCUCAACUGACUGGGGGGGGGGGGGGGGGGGGGGCUUGUGUGUAUGUGUGAGUGUUUUUUUGUUUGUGCGUGUGCGGCACUAAGUCCAUGUGUGUUUUUGUGAGUGUGUUUAUGUGUGUGCAUGUGCGUGAUGUAUGUGUGCGUGUGAGAGAGAUGUAUCCUCUCUGACUUAUGAUAGAUAUGCAGUACUGUCUAUCUCUCUCUCAGUUUUUUCAUGUUUCUUUGUGGGUAAAUAGGGGAGUAAAUCAGCCCCCACAUGCAUAGUGGUGUUUCCACUUAAUCCAGUUCCUUUUCAAAUCUUGUUUUUUUCUCAAGUGUGCGUACGAGGUGUCUUUACAGUAGCAGGGACUACCCUACUAUGUCUUGUGGGACUCUGCCCUCUAUGUUUCUACUGAUUUACCUGUUAUAGUGAUGGGUUCUCUCUGUUGCUGAUGUAGAUUUGUAGUGAUGGCUUCUUACUUCUCAUUGCUGUGUUUUCUUCUUCUAAAUUUGAUGUGUCUCUCUUUUGUUUUUUCUGAUAGAAAUUACAUAAUUUUAUUCAAUAUAGAUAAAAGCAAGCAAAAUAUCCAACAAAUAAAAACAAUAAGCAGAGGAAAAAUCAAAAU
rnacentral:lncRNA from 1 species